UGGGGAUGACGUCAAAUCAUCAUGCCCCUUAUGACCUGGGCUACACACGUGCUACAAUGGUUGGUACAACGAGUUGCGAGUCGGUGACGGCGAGCUAAUCUCUUAAAGCCAAUCUCAGUUCGGAUUGUAGGCUGCAACUCGCCUACAUGAAGUCGGAAUCGCUAGUAAUCGCGGAUCAGCACGCCGCGGUGAAUACGGUUCCCGGGCCUU
rnacentral:rRNA from 1 species